CUUUUCUUUUCUAAAGUCUAAAGAGAUUUCCCGGUGAUAACUCCUUUCUAGUAGCAAUUCCGACAAGAGCGGAAAUAACUACGGUUAUUUCCAUUCUUCUUUCUCCUGUUCUUCUUCUAUCUACGGACAAGGCGGAAGGUUCGCUCUUCCUCUCUAGGAUGGGUUCUCUCUCAUUUUAUGCUUUCUUCUCUCUGGCAUGGUACCGUACCUCUUCUUCUUUUCACGGUCUCUCCGCAACGGGAAAGAAAGUGUGCCAAGUCUUGCUCUGGCUUGCCCAAAGCAUUGAACAUACAUAAUUAAGGCAUUACAUUACAUACCCAGGCGGAAAUGGUACACUAUCGAUCCAAGCCGGAUAGGGUUUACGAUACCGAUAAGAUGGACGAGACACGUGGUGAUGGAAAUCUUAUAUAUAUAUAUAUAUAUAUAUAUAUAUAUAUAUAUAUAUAUGGGAUAGUGGGAUGAAAGAGAAUGUCCAUUUCUCUUCUUCCUCAAUCAGUAGCAAAAACCAAAGAUAAGAAGUCUUCUCUAAGCUUCACCAUUGUCGUUACACCAAAGCAUUGGUGAGUUUCUUCUUAGAAUUUCAUUAGAAUUUUGUUAAGGGUAAUAGAUAUUAAAGAUCCAUUAGUUAAUUUAGUGAAUUAGUAAGUUAUUA